UACGUAGGGCGCAAGCGUUGUCCGGAAUUAUUGGGCGUAAAGAGCUCGUAGGCGGCUUGUCACGUCGGAUGUGAAAGCCCGGGGCUUAACUCCGGGUCUGCAUUCGAUACGGGCUGGCUAGAGUGUGGUAGGGGAGAUCGGAAUUCCUGGUGUAGCGGAGAAAUGCGCAGAUAUCAGGAGGAACACCGGUGGCGAAGGCGGAUCUCUGGGCCAUUACUGACGCUGAGGAGCGAAAGCGUGGGGAGCGAACAGG
rnacentral:rRNA from 1 species